UACGAAGGGGGCUAGCGUUGUUCGGAAUUACUGGGCGUAAAGAGCGCGCAGGCGGUCGUUCAAGUCGAGUGUGAAAGCCCCCGGCUCAACUGGGGAGGGUCACUCGAUACUGAUCGACUUGAAGGCGGGAGAGGGAAGCGGAAUUCCCGGUGUAGUGGUGAAAUGCGUAGAUAUCGGGAGGAACACCAGUGGCGAAGGCGACUACCUGGCCUGUUCUUGACGCUGAGGCGCAAAAGCUAGGGGAGCAAACGGG
rnacentral:rRNA from 1 species